GCGGUAGAGAGGUGCUUGCACCUCUUGAGAGCGGCGGACGGGUGAGUAAUACCUAGGAAUCUGCCUGAUAGUGGGGGAUAACGUUCGGAAACGGACGCUAAUACCGCAUACGUCCUACGGGAGAAAGCAGGGGACCUUCGGGCCUUGCGCUAUCAGAUGAGCCUAGGUCGGAUUAGCUAGUUGGUGAGGUAAUGGCUCACCAAGGCUACGAUCCGUAACUGGUCUGAGAGGAUGAUCAGUCACACUGGAACUGAGACACGGUCCAGACUCCUACGGGAGGCAGCAGUGGGGAAUAUUGGACAAUGGGCGAAAGCCUGAUCCAGCCAUGCCGCGUGUGUGAAGAAGGUCUUCGGAUUGUAAAGCACUUUAAGUUGGGAGGAAGGGCAUUAACCUAAUACGUUAGUGUCUUGACGUUACCGACAGAAUAAGCACCGGCUAACUCUGUGCCAGCAGCCGCGGUAAUACAGAGGGUGCAAGCGUUAAUCGGAAUUACUGGGCGUAAAGCGCGCGUAGGUGGUUUGUUAAGUUGAAUGUGAAAUCCCCGGGCUCAACCUG
rnacentral:rRNA from 1 species